rnacentral:rRNA from 1 species
GUGCCAGCCGCCGCGGUAAAACGUAGGUGGCGAGCGUUAUCCGGAUUCACUGGGCGUAAAGCGAGUGCAGGUGGUUUUGUAAGUUGGAUGUGAAAUUUCCCGGCUUAACCGGGAAGGGUCAUUCAAUACUGCAGGACUUGAGGGCAAAAGAGGGGGGUGGAAUUGCCGGUGUAGUGGUGAAAUGCGUAGAUAUCGGCAGGAACACCUGUGGCGAAAGCGGCCCCCUGGUUUGCUCCUGACACUCAGACUCGAAAGCUAGGGUAGCGAACGGGAUUAGAAACCCCUGUAGUCC